AGAUCUCUUGUUGAAAAUCCUCUCGCCUUUUUCAUCUUUUCUCUCUCAUUUUUCUUUUCUUUUUUUCUCUUCAAAGAGAAAAUCAAUCAAAAUAGUCUGGAUCAUCACAGGUGGCACAGAGAAUAUCAUCCAACCCACUAAA
rnacentral:ribozyme from 13 species